GCCUCGUCAUUUAUUAGUGACGCGCAUGAAUGGAUUAACGAGAUUCCCACUGUCCCUAUCUACUAUCUAGCGAACCCACAGUCAAGGGAACGGGCUUGACAAGUUGGCGGGGAAAGAAGACCCUGUUGAGUUUGACUCUAGUUUGAUGCUGUGAAACAUCUCGAAAGAUGUAGAAUAAGUGGGAGAUCGUCGAAAGGCGAUCGACGGUGAAAUACCACUACUUUCGACGAUAUUUUACUUAAAAAGUUGAAAGAGAAAUGAUCAGUCAGCAAUGGUUGAUCUUUAUUCUUGAAUUAAUUGGAUUGUAAUACAUCCAAGACUCUGCUUCUUUUAAUAGUAUCAAAUGGGGAAGUUUGGCUGGGGCGGCACUAGUGUUACAAAAUAACGCACUAGUCCUAAGAUGAGCUCAAUGAGAACAGAAAUCUCAUGUAGACCAAAAGGGGGAAAAGCUCAUUUUGAUUUGUGAUUUUUCAGUACGAAUACAAAACGUGAAAGCGUGGCC
rnacentral:rRNA from 1 species